UACCAGCUCUCCGAGUGGUGUGGAUGUUUAUUGGGCCUAAAGCAUCCGUAGCUGGCUGGACAAGUCCCCUGUUAAAUCCACCGAUUUAAUCGUUGGUGUGCGGGGGAUACUGUGCGGCUAGGGGACGGGAGAGGCAGACGGUAUUUUCGGGGUAGGGGUGAAAUCCUAUAAUCCCGGGAAGACACCAGUGGCGAAGGCUGUCUGCUAGAACGCGCCCGACGGUGAGGGAUGAAAGCUGGGGGGAGCGAACCGGAUUAGAUACCCGGGUAGUCCCAGCUGUAAACGAUGCAGGCUAGGUGUUUGGACGGCCACGUGCCGUUCUAGUGCCGCAGGGAAGCCGUUAAGCCUGCCGCCUGGGGAAUACGGCCGCAAGGCUGAAACUUAAAGGAAUUGGCGGGGGAGCACCACAAGGGGUGAAGCUUGCGGUUU
rnacentral:rRNA from 1 species